UGCCCUAAACACAAUUUUAGAGUUGUCAAACAUGCAAAAUGAUGCCACCAUGUUAAACUAGGCAUUUUUCGACCCCAUUUAUAUAUAAAGUUUAUUAAAAUCGGAGCUACGGUUAUUUAGAUAUGAAUUAAAUCAUUUUUAACAUGGCAUAGGAGAAAAUUUAAACAAACAGCAUUUUAAACAUUUUAAACAUAUAUGAAAGUGGAAAAUUAUUAAUCUACACAAAAUUCUAAGCAAGUUUCAUAUUUAAAGUUUUUACAUAUGAUGCACCGUUUGUGAGAUAUGAUAUGCAUGAUGUAUGAGGGCUGAUUUGCAAAAGUGCAAUGCCCUGGAAAUUGAUAAAAUCGCAGCUAAGGAAAAAAAACCUAACGGGCUGAAACUAAGCAGAGGCCCAAUAGAGAAUAAAGAAAGAGAAGAAAGAACAAAAAAAGACACAGGAGGCGCUGGGCCUCACCAUGGGCUUCGGCCUAGAUCUGGAGAGGAACCGCUGGGCUGAGGAAGAAGCGGCGCGGGGCUGGGCCUUCCUGGCGCUGGGCGAUGGAGGGCGAGCUGGGCCUGGGGCGAGGCCGACCCAGUCGCAGUCAACGGGCGCAGAGGCCACGCGUGGGCAUUGACGAGAGGACAGAACGGAUCGGGCGCUUCUCGUCCUCCUGCUCGAAGCAGAGGAGGAGGCGGUGGUUAACGAUGCCGGGGACACAGACGAGCACAGCAGCGGCAACCGCGGCUGCAAAGGGCCGGCGGGGGUGCAGAAGACAGUGAGGAUGCAGCUACAGGAUGGGCGUGUUCAGCGGCUCGACCUCGAGCUCGCGCUCGACUCAGGCAUGGCACGGCGGCUCCAAGCGACGCAGGGCGGCAUAGUUCGUGUUGGGUUUCGUAGUAAUUUCAAAAAAAUUCCUACGCACACGCAAGAUCAUGUGAUGCAUAGCAACGAGAUGGGAGAGUGUUGUCUACGUACCCACGCGGACCGACUGCGGAAGCGUUGACGCAACGUAGAGGAAGUAGUGGUACGUCUUCACGAUCCAACCGAUCAAGCACCGAAACUACAGCACCUCCGAGUUCGAGCACACGUUCAGCUCGAUGACGAUCCCCGGACUCCGAUCCAGCAAAGUGUCGGGGAAGAGUUCCGUCAGCACGACGGUGUGGUGACGAUCUUGAUGCGCUACGGCAGCAGGGCUUCGCCUAAACUCCGCUACAGUAUUAUCGAGGAUUAUGGUGGCUGGGGGCACCGCACACGGCUAAGGAAUAGAUCACGUGGAUCAACUUGUGUGUUCUAGGGUGCCUCUACCUCAGUAUAUAAAGGACCAAAGGGGGGAGGCUGGCCGGCCACAAGGGGUGCGCCAGGAGAGUCCUACUCCCUCUGGGAGUAGGAUUCCCCCCCCCCCCCAAUCCUAGUUUGAAUAGGAUUCGCGGAGGGGGAAAAGAGAGAGAGGGGGCCGGCCACCUCUCCUAGUCCUAAUAGGACUAGGGGAAGGGGGAGGUGCACAGCCCAUGUAGGGCUGCCUCUUCUCUUUUCCACUAAGGCCCAUCAUGGCCCAUUUAGCUCCCGGGGGGUUCCGGUAACCUUCUCGGUACUCCGGCAAAAUCCCGAUUUCACCCGGAACACUUCCGAUAUCCAAACAUAGGCUUCCAAUAUAUCAAUCUUUACGUCUCGACCAUUUCGAGACUCCCCGUCAUGUUCGUGAUCACAUCCUGGACUCCGAACAACCUUCAGUACAUCAAAAUGCAUAAACUCAUAACAUAACUGUCAUCGUAACCUUAAGCGUGCGGACCCUACGGGUUCGAGAACAAUGUAGACAUGACCGAGACACGUCUCCGGUCAAUAACCAAUAGCGGGACCUGGAUGCCCAUAUUGGCUCCUACAUAUUCUACGAAGAUCUUUAUCGGUCAGACCACAUAACAACAUACGUUGUUCCCUUUGUCAUCGGUAUGUUACUUGCCCGAGAUUCGAUCGUCGGUAUCCAAUACCUAGUUCAAUCUCGUUACCGGCAAGUCUCUUUACUCGUUCCGUAAUACAUCAUCUCACAACUAACAUAUUAGUUGUAAUGCUUGCAAGGCUUAUGUGAUGUGCAUUACCGAGAGGGCCCAGAGAUACCUCUUCGACAAUCGGAGUGACAAAUCCUAAUCUCAAAAUACGCCAACCCAACAUGUACCUUUGGAGACACCUGUAGUAAUCCUUUAUAAUCACCCAGUUACGUUGUGACGUUUCGUAGUACCCAAAGUGUUCCUCCGGUAAACGGGAGUUGCAUAAUCUCAUAGUUAUAGGAACAUGUAUAAGUCAUGAAGAAAGCAAUAGCAACAUACUAAACGAGCGGGUGCUAAGCUAAUGGAAUGGGUCAUGUCAAUCAGAUCAUUCAACUAAUGAUGUGACCUCGUUAAUCAAAUAACAACUCAUUGUUCAUGGUUAGGAAACAUAACCAUCUUUGAUUAACGAGCUAGUCAAGUAGAGGCAUACUAGUGACACUUUGUUUGUCUAUGUAUUCACACAUGUAUUAUGUUUCCGGUUAAUACAAUUCUAGCAUGAAUAAUAAACAUUUAUCAUGAUUAUAAGGAAGUAAAUAAUAACUUUAUUAUUGCCUCUAGGGCAUAUCUCCUUCAGUCUCCCACUUGCACUAGAGUCAAUAAUCUAGAUUACACUGUAAUGAUUCUAACACCCAUGGAGCCUUGGUGCUGAUCAUGUUUUGCUCGUGGAAGAGGCUUAGUCAACGGGUCUGCAAUAUUCAGAUCCGUAUGUAUCUUGCAAAUCUCUAUGUCUCCCACCUGGACUAGAUCCCGGAUGGAAUUGAAGCGUCUUUUGAUGUGCUUGGUUCUCUUGUGAAAUCUGGAUUCCUUUGCCAAGGCAAUUGCACCAGUAUUGUCACAAAAGAUUUUCAUUGGACCCGAUGCACUAGGUAUGACACCUAGAUCGGAUAUGAACUCCUUCAUCCAGACUCCUUCGUUUGCUGCUUCCGAAGCAGCUAUGUACUCCGCUUCACAUGUAGAUCCCGCUACGACGCUUUGUUUAGAACUGCACCAACUGACAGCUCCACCGUUUAAUGUAAACACGUAUCCGGUUUGCGAUUUAGAAUCGUCCGGAUCAGUGUCAAAGCUUGCAUCAACAUAACCUUUUACGACGAGCUCUUUGUCACCUCCAUAUACGAGAAGCAUAUCCUUAGUCCUUUUCAGGUAUUUCAGGAUGUUCUUGACUGCUGUCCAGUGAUCCACUCCUGGAUUACUUUGGUACCUCCCUGCUAGACUUAUAGCAAGGCACACAUCAGGUCUGGUACACAGCAUUGCAUACAUGAUAGAUCCUAUCGCUGAUGCAUAGGGAACAUCUUUCAUAUUCUCUCUAUCUUCUGCAGUGGUCGGGCAUUGAGUCCUACUCAAUUUCACACCUUGUAACACAGGCAAUAAUCCUUUCUUUGCUUGAUCCAUUUUGAACUUCUUCAAAAUUUUGUCAAGGUAUGUUGUUUGUGAAAGUCCAAUUAAGCGUCUUGAUCUAUCUCUAUAGAUCUUUAUGCCUAAUAUGUAAGCAGCUUCACCGAGGUCUUUCAUUGAAAAACUUUUAUUCAAGUAUCCCUUUAUGCUAUCCAGAAAAUCUAUAUCAUUUCCAAUUAGUAAUAUGUCAUCCACAUAUAAUAUCAGAAAUGCUACAGAGCUCCCACUCACUUUCUUGUAAAUACAGGCUUCUCCGAAAGUCUGUAUAAAACCAAAUGCUUUGAUCACACUAUCAAAGCGUUUAUUCCAACUCCGAGAGGCUUGCACCAGUCCAUAAAUGGAUCGCUGGAGCUUGCACACUUUGUUAGCUCCUUUUGGAUCGACAAAACCUUCUGGUUGCAUCAUAUACAACUCUUCUUCCAGAAAUCCAUUCAGGAAUGCAGUUUUGACAUCCAUUUGCCAAAUUUCAUAAUCAUAAAAUGCGACAAUCACUAACAUGAUUCGGAUGGACUUAAGCAUCGCUACGGGUGAGAAAGUCUCAUCGUAGUCAAUCCCUUGAACUUGCCGAAAACCUUUCGCGACAAGUCGAGCUUUGUAGACAGUAAUAUUUCCGUCAGCGUCAGUCUUCUUCUUGAAGAUCCAUUUAUUCUCAAUUGCUUGCCGAUCAUCGGGCAAGUCAACCAAAGUCCAUACUUUAUUCUCAUACAUGGAUCCCAUCUUAGAUUUCAUGGCUUCAAGCCAUUUUGCGGAAUCUGGGCUCACCAUCGCUUCUUCAUAGUUCGUAGGUUCAUCAUGAUCUAGUAGCAUGACUUCCAGAACAGGAUUACCAUACCACUCUGGUGCGGAUCUCACUCUGGUUGAUCUACGAGGUUCAGUAGUAUCUUGAUCUGAAGUUUCAUGAUCAUUAUCAUUAUCUUCCUCACUAACUGGUGUAGGUGUCACCGAAACAGUUUUCUGUGAUGUACUACUUUCCAAUAAGGGAGCAGGUACAGUUACCUCGUCAAGUUCUACUUUCCUCCCACUCACUUCUUUCGAGAGAAACUCCUUCUCUAGAAAGUUUCCGAAUUUAGCAACAGAAGUCUUGCCUUCGGAUCUGUGAUAGAAGGUGUAUCCAAUAGUUUCCUUUGGAUAUCCUAUGAAGACACAUUUCUCCGAUUUGGGUUCGAGCUUAUCAGGUUGAAGCUUUUUCACAUAAGCAUCUCAGCCCCAAACUUUCAGAAACGACAACUUUGGUUUCUUGCCAAACCACAGUUCAUAAGGUGUCGUCUCAACGGAUUUUGAUGGUGUCCUAUUUAACUGAAUGCGGCCGUCUCUAGAGCGUAUCCCCAAAACGAUAGCGGUAAAUCAGUAAGAGACAUCAUAGAUCGCAUCAUAUCUAGUAAAGUACGAUUACGACGUUCGGACACACCAUUACACUGAGGUGUUCUGGGUGGCGUGAGUUGCGAAACUAUUCCACAAUUUUUCAAAUGUACACCAAACUCGUAACUCAAAUAUUCUCCUCCACGAUCAGAUCGUAGAAACUUUAUUUUCUUGUUACGAUGAUUUUCAACUUCACUCUGAAAUUCUUUGAACUUUUCAAAUGUUUCAGACUUAUGUUUCAUUAAAUAGAUAUACCCAUAUCUGCUUAAAUCAUCUGUGAAGGUGAGAAAAUAACGAUAUCCGCCACGAGCCUCAAUAUUCAUCGGACCACAUACAUCUGUAUGUAUGAUCUCCAACAAAUCUGUUGCUCUCUCCAUAGUACCAGAGAACGGUGUUUUGGUCAUCUUGCCCAUGAGGCACGGUUCGCAAGUACCAAGUGAUUCAUAAUCAAGUGGUUCCAAAAGUCCAUCAGUAUGGAGUUUCUUCAUGCGCUUUACAAUGAUAUGACCUAAACGGCAGUGCCACAAAUAAGUUGCACUCUCAUUAUCAACUCUGCAUCUUUUGGCUUCAACAUUAUGAAUAUGUGUGUUACUACUAUCGAGGUUCAACAAGAAUAGACCACUCUUCAAGGGUGCAUGACCAUAAAAGAUAUUACUCAUAUAAAUAGAACAACCAUUAUUCUCUGAUUUAAAUGAAUAACCGUCUCGCAUUAAACAAGAUCCAGAUAUAAUGUUCAUGCUCAACGCUGGCACCAAAUAACAAUUAUUUAGGUCUAAUAUUAAUCCCGAAGGUAGAUGUAGAGGUAGUGUGCCGACUGCGAUCACAUCGACUUUGGAACCGUUUCCCACGCGCAUCGUCACCUCGUCCUUAACCAAUCUUCGCUUAAUCCGUAGUCCCUGUUUCGAGUUGCAAAUAUUAGCAACAGAACCAGUAUCAAAUACCCAGGUGCUACUGCGAGCAUUAGUAAGGUACACAUCAAUAACAUGUAUAUCACAUAUACCUUUGUUCACCUUGCCAUCCUUCUUAUCCGCCAAAUACUUGGGGCAGUUCCGCUUCCAGUGACCAGUCUGCUUGCAAUAGAAGCACUUAGUUUCAGGCUUAGGUCUAGGUUUGGGUUUCUUCUCUUGAGUAGCAACUUGCUUGCUGUUCUUUUUGAAGUUCCCCUUCUUCUUCCCUUUGCCCUUUUUCUUGAAACUAGUGGUCUUGUUGACCAUCAACACUUGAUGCUCCUUCUUGAUUUCUACCUCGCAGCUUUCAGCAUCGCGAAGAGCUCGGGAAUAGUCUUGUUCAUCCCUUGCAUAUUAUAGUUCAUCACGAAGCUCUUGUAGCUUGGUGGCAGUGAUUGAAGAAUUCUGUCAAUGACGCAAUCAUCUGGAAGAUUAACUCCCAAUUGAAUCAAGUGAUUAUUAUACCCAGACAUUUUGAGUAUAUGCUCACUGACAGAACUGUUCUCCUCCAUCUUGCAGCUAUAGAACUUAUUGGAGACUUCAUAUCUCUCAAUCCGGGCAUUUGCUUGAAAUAUUAACUUCAACUCCUGGAACAUCUCAUAUGCUCCAUGACGUUCAAAACGUCGUUGAAGUCCCGAUUCUAAGCCGUAAAGCUGUUGGGGAACGUUGCAGAAAACAACAAUUUUCCUACUCGUUUCACCAAGAUCAUCUAGGAGUUCAUCUAGCAACGAGUGAUUAGAUGCAUCUACAUACCUUUGUAGAUCGCGAGCGGAAGCGUUCAAAGAACGGGGAUGAUGUAGUCGAACACGACGUGAUUCGAAUCACCGGAGAUCCUAGCACCGAACGGACGGCACCUCCGCAUUCAACACACGUACGGAACAGCCACGUCUCCUCCUUCUUGAUCCAGCAAGGGAGGGAGGAGAGGUUGAGGGAGAUGGCACCAGCAGCAGCACGACGGCGUGGUGUUGAUGGAGCUGCAGUACUCCGGCAGAGCUUCGCUAAGCAAUAAGGAGGUGGAGGAGGUGUUGGGGAGGGAGAAGGAGGCAACCAAAGGCCAAGGACUCAAGGUAUGAAGUCCCUCCUCUCCCCCACUAUAUAUAGGGGUGCCAAGGGGGGGUGGCCGGCCCUAGGAGAUCCAAUCUCCUAGGGGGUGCGGCGGCCAAGGGGGUUUCCCUCCUCCCCAAGGCACCUAGGAGGUGCCUUACCCUCCUAGGACUCUUUCCCCCUUAAACCCUAGGCGCAUGGGCCUAUGUGGGGCUGGUGCCCUUGGCCCAAGCAGGCCAAGGCGCACCCCCUACAGCCCAUGUGGCCCCCGGGGAUGGGUGGCCCCACCCGAUGGGCCCCCGGGACCCCUCCGGUGGUCCCGGUACAAUACCGAUAACCCCGAAACUUGUCCCGAUGCCCGAAACAGGACUUCCCAUAUAUAAAUCUUUACCUCCGGACCAUUCCGGAACUCCUCGUGACGUCCGGGAUCUCAUCCGGGACUCCGAACAACAUUCGGGUUACUGCAUAUACAUAUCCCUACAACCCUAGCGUAACUGAACCUUAAGUGUGUAGACCCUACGGGUUCGGGAGACAUGUAGACAUGACCGAGAUCGCUCUCCGGUCAAUAACCAACAGCGGGAUCUGGAUACCCAUGUUGGCUCCCACAUGCUCCACGAUGAUCUCAUCGGAUGAACCACGAUGUCGAGGAUUUAAUCAACCCCGUAUGCAAUUCCCUUUGUCAAUCGAUAUGUUACUUGCCCGAGAUUCGAUCGUCGGUAUCCCAAUACCUCGUUCAAUCUUGUUACCGGCAAGUCACUUUACUCGUACCGUAAUGCAUGAUCCCAUGACCAGACACUUGGUCACUUUGAGCUCAUUAUGAUGAUGCAUUACUGAGUGGGCCCAGUGAUAUCUCUCCGUCAUACGGAGUGACAAAUCCCAGUCUCGAUCCAUAUAAAACAAUAGAUACUUUCGGAGAUACCUGUAGUGCACCUUUAUAGUCACCCAGUUACGUUGUGACGUUUGAUACACCCAAAGCACUCCUACGGUAUCCAGGAGUUAUACGAUCUCAUGGUCGAAGGAAGAGAUACUUUGACAUUGCAAAACUCUAGCAAACGAACUAUACGAUCUUGUGCUAUGUUUAGGAUUGGGUCUUGUCCAUCACAUCAUUAUCCUAAUGAUGUGAUCCCGUUAUCAAUGACAUCCAAUGUCCAUAGACAGGAAACCAUGACUAUCUAUUGAUCAACGAGCUAGUCAACUAGAGGCUUACUAGGGACAUGUUGGUGUCUAUUAUUCACACAUGUAUUACGAUUUCCGGAUAACACAAUUAUAGCAUGAAUAAAGACAAUUAUCAUGAACAAAGAAAUAUAAUAAUAAUUCUUUUAUUAUUGCCUCUAGGGCAUAUUUCCAACAGUCUCCCACUUGCACUAGAGUCAAUAAUCUAGUUACAUUGUGAUGAAUCGAACACCCAUGGAAUUCUGGUGUUGAUCAUGUUUUGCUCUUGGGAGAGGUUUAGUCAACGGAUCUGCUACAUUCAGGUCCGUAUGUACUUUACAAAUCUCUAUGUCUCCAUCUUGAACAUUUUCACGGAUGGAGUUGAAGCGACGCUUGAUGUGCCUUGUCUUCUUGUGAAACCUGGGCUCCUUGGCAAGUGCAAUAGCUCCAGUGUUGUCACAGAAGAGCUUGAUCGGCCCCGACGCAUUGGGUAUGACUCCUAGGUCGGUGAUGAACUCCUUCACCCAUAUUGCUUCAUGUGCUGCCUCCGAGGCUGCCAUGUACUCCGCUUCACAUGUAGAUCCAGCCACGACGCUCUGCUUGCAACUCCACCAGCUUACUGCCCCACCAUUCAAAAUAUACACGUAUCCGGUUUGUGACUUAGAGUCAUCCAGAUCUGUGUCGAAGCUAGCAUCGACGUAACCUUUUACGACGAGCUCUUCGUCACCUCCAUAAACGAGAAACAUUUCCUUAGUCCUUUUCAGGUACUUCAGGAUAUUCUUGACCGUUGUCCAGUGUUCCUUGCCGGGAUUACUUUGGUACCUUCCUACCAAACUUACGGCAAGGUUUACAUCAGGUCUGGUACACAGCAUGGCAUACAUAAUAGAACCUAUGGCUGAGGCAUAGGGGAUGACGCUCAUCUCUUCUAUAUCUUCUGUCGUGGUCGGACAUUGAGCUGAGCUCAAUUUCACACCUUGUAACACAGGCAAGAACCCUUUCUUGGAUUGAUCCAUAUUGAACUUCUUCAAUAUCUUAUCAAGGUAUGUGCUUUGUGAAAGACCUAUGAGGCGUCUCGAUCUAUCUCUAUAGAUUUUGAUGCCUAAUAUAUAAGCAGCUUCUCCAAGGUCCUUCAUUGAAAAACUUUUAUUCAAGUAGGCGUUGAUGCUGUCCAAGAGUUCUAUAUCAUUUCCCAUCAAAAGUAUGUCAUCUACAUAUAGUAUGAGAAAUGCUAUAGAGCUCCCACUCACUUUCUUGUAAACACAGGCUUCUCCAUAAGUCUGUGUAAACCCAAACGCUUUGAUCAUCUCAUCAAAACGAAUGUUCCAACUCCGAGAUGCUUGCACCAGCCCAUAAAUCGAGCGUUGGAGCUUGCACACCUUGUCAGCAUUUUUAGGAUCGACAAAACCUUCCGGCUGCAUCAUAUACAAUUCUUCCUUAAGGAAACCAUUAAGGAAUGCCGUUUUGACGUCCAUUUGCCAAAUUUCAUAAUCAUAAAAUGCGGCAAUUGCUAACAUGAUUCGGACGGACUUCAGCUUCGCUACCGGUGAGAAAGUCUCAUCGUAGUCAACCCCUUGAACUUGUCGAUAACCCUUAGCGACAAGCCGAGCUUUAUAGAUGGUCACAUUACCAUCCGCGUCUGUCUUCUUCUUAAAGAUCCAUUUAUUUUCUAUGGCUCGCCGUUCUACGGGCAAGUCAGUCAAAGUCCAUACUUCGUUUUCAUACAUGGAUCCUAUCUCGGAUUUCAUGACUUCUAGCCAUUUGUCAGAAUCCGGACCCGCCAUCGCUUCUUCAUAGUUCGAAGGUUCACCGUUGUCUAACAACAUGAUUUCCAAGACAGGGUUGCCGUACCACUCUGGUGCGGAACGUGUCUUCGUGGACCUUCGAAUUUCAGUAGGAGCUUGAUCAGAAGUAUCUUGAUCAUUAUCAUUAACUUCCUCUCUAGUCGGUGCAGGCACCUCAGGAACAUUUUCUUGAGUUGCGCCAUUUUCCGGUUCAAGAGGUAAUACUUCAUCAAGCUCUACUUUCCUCCCACUUACUUCUUUCGAGAGAAACUCUUUCUCCAGAAAGGACCCAUUCUUGGCAACAAAGAUCUUGCCUUCGGAUCUGAGGUAGAAGAUAUACCCAACAGUUUCUUUAGGGUAUCCUAUGAAGACGCAUUUUUCCGAUUUGGGUUCGAGCUUUUCAGGUUGAAGUUUCCUGACAUAAGCAUCGCAUCCCCAAACUUUUAGAAAUGACAGCUUAGGUUUCUUCCCAAACCAUAAUUCAUACGGUGUCGUCUCAACGGAUUUCGACGGGGCCCUAUUUAAAGUGAAUGCAGCAGUCUCUAAAGCAUAGCCCCAAAAAGAUAGUGGUAAAUCGGCAAGAGACAUCAUAGAUCGCACCAUAUCUAAUAGAGUGCGAUUACGACGUUCGGACACACCAUUACGCUGAGGUGUUCCAGGCGGCGUGAGUUGUGAAACUAUUCCACAUUUUCUUAAGUGUGUACCAAACUCGUGACUCAAGUAUUCUCCUCCACGAUCUGAUCGUAGAAACUUGAUUUUCCUGUCACGUUGAUUCUCAACUUCACUCUGAAAUUCCUUGAACUUUUCAAAGGUCUCAGACUUGUGUUUCAUUAAGUAGACAUACCCAUAUCUACUCAAGUCAUCAGUGAGGGUGAGAACAUAACGAUAGCCACCGCGAGCCUCAACACUCAUUGGACCGCACACAUCAGUAUGUAUGAUUUCCAAUAAGUUGGUUGCUCUCUCCAUUGUUCCUGAGAAUGGAGUCUUGGUCAUUUUACCCAUGAGGCAUGGUUCGCACGUGUCAAAUGAUUCAUAAUCAAGAGACUCUAAAAGUCCAUCAGCAUGGAGCUUCUUCAUGCGUUUGACACCUAUGUGACCGAGGCGGCAGUGCCACAAGUAUGUGGGACUAUCACUAUCAAUCUUACAUCUUUUGGUACUUACACUAUGAAUAUGUGUAGCAUUACGCUCGAGAUUCAUAAAGAAUAAACCAUUCACCAUCGGAGCAUGACCAUAAAACAUAUCUCUCAUAUAAAUAGAACAACCAUUAUUCUCGGAUUUAAAUGAGUAGCCAUCUCGAAUUAAACGAGAUCCUGAUACAAUGUUCAUGCUCAAACUUGGCACAAAAUAACAAUUAUUGAGGUUCAAAACUAAUCCCGUAGGUAAAUGUAGAGGUAGCGUGCCGACGGCGAUCACAUCGACCUUGGAACCAUUCCCGACGCGCAUCGUCACCUCGUCCUUCGCCAGUCUCCGUUUAUUCCGCAGCUCCUGUUGUGUGUUACAAAUAUGAGCAACGGCACCGGUAUCAAAUACCCAGGAGUUACUACGAUUACUGGUAAGGUACACAUCAAUUACAUGUAUAUCAAAUAUACCUUUGGUUUUGCCGGCCUUCUUGUCCGCUAAGUAUUUGGGCAGUUCCGCUUCCAGUGACCACUUUCCUUGCAGUAAAAACACUCAGUCUCGGGCUUGGGUCCAUUCUUUGGCUUCUUCCCGGCAGCUUGCUUGCUGGGCGCGGCAACUACCUUGCCGUCCUUCUUGAAGUUCUUUUUACCCUUGCCCUUCUUGAACUUAGUGGUUUUAUUGACCAUCAACACUUGAUGUUCCUUUCUGACUUCUACUUCUGCUGAUUUCAGCAUAGCAAAUACUUCAGGAAUGGUCUUUUCCAUCCCCUGCAUAUUGAAGUUCAUCACAAAGCUCUUGUAGCUCGGUGGAAGCGACUGGAGGAUUCUGUCAAUGACCGCAUCAUCCGGGAGAUUAACUCCCAGCUGAGUCAAGCGGUUAUGUAACCCAGACAUAGUGAGUAUGUGCUCACUGACAGAACUAUUUUCCUCCAUCUUACAGCUGAAGAAUUUGUCAGAGACUUCAUAUCUCUCGACCCGGGCAUGAGCUUGGAAAACCAUUUUCAGCUCUUCGAACAUCUCAUAUGCUCCAUGUCUCUCAAAACGCUUUUGGAGCCCCGGCUCUAGGCUGUAAAGCAUGCCGCACUGAACGAGGGAGUAGUCAUCAGAACGUGCCUGCCAAGCGUUCAUAACGUCUUGUUCUGCAGGGAGAACAGGUGCAUCACCUAGCGGUGCUUGUAGGACAUAAUCUUUCUUGGCAGCUAUGAGGAUGAUCCUCAGGUUCCGGACCCAGUCCGUAUAGUUGCUGCCAUCGUCUUUCAGCUUGGUUUUCUCUAGGAACGCAUUGAAGUUGAGGACUACGUUGGCCAUUUGAUCUACAAGACAUAUUGUAAAAAUUUAGACUAAGUUCAUGAUAAUUAAGUUCAUCUAAUCAAAUUAUAAUGAACUCCCACUCAGAUUUGACAUCCCUUUGGUCAUCUAAGUGUUACACGAUCCGAGUCGACUAGGCCGUGUCCGAUCAUCACGUGAGACGGACUAGUCAUCGUCGGUGAACAUUCUCAUGUAGAUCGUAUCUUCCAUACGACUCGUGUUCGACCUUUCGGUCUCCGUGUUCCGAGGCCAUGUCUGUACAUGCUAGGCUCGUCAAGUUAACCCUAAGUGUUUUCGCUGUGUAAAACUGUCUUACACCCGUUGUAUGUGAACGUAAGAAUCUAUCACACCCGAUCAUCACGUGGUGCUUUGAAACGACGAACUGUAGCAACGGUGCACAGUUAGGGGAGAACACUUCUUGAAAUUUUGUAAGGGAUCAUCUUAUUUACUACCGUCGUUCUAAGUAAACAAGAUGCAUAAAACAUAAUAAACAUCACAUGCAAUUAUAUAAAGUAGUGACAUGAUAUGGCCAAUAUCAUAUAGCUCCUUUGAUCUUCAUCUUCGGGGCUCCAUGAUCAUCUUGUCACUGGCAUGACACCAUGAUCUCCAUCAUCAUGAUCUCCAUCAUCGUGUCUUCAUGAAGUUGUCACGCCAACGACUACUUCUACUUCUAUGACUAACGCGUUUAGUAAUAAAGUAAAGUAGUUUACAUGGCGUUCUUUAAUGACACGCAGGUCAUACAAAAAAUAAAGACAACUCCUAUGGCUCCUGCCGGUUGUCAUACUCAUCGACAUGCAAGUCGUGAUUCCUAUUACAAUAGCAUGAACAUCUCAUACAUGACAUAUAGAUCAUUCAUCAUUCAUCACAACUUUGGCCAUAUCAUAUCACAAAGCACUUGCUGCAAAAACAAGUUAGACGUCCUCUAAUUGUUGUUUGCAAGUUUUACGUGGCUGAAGUAGGGUUCUAGCAAGAACGUUUUCUUACCUACGUGAAACCACAACGUGAUUUGUCAACUUCUAUUUACCCUUCAUAAGGACCCUUUUCAUCGAAUCCGCUUCAACUAAAGUGGGAGAGACAGACACCCGCCAGCCACCUUAUGCAACUUGUGCAUGUUAGUCGGUGGAACCGGUCUCACGUAAGCGUACGUGUAAGGUUGGUUCGGGCCGCUUCAUCCCACAAUACCGCUGAAGCAAGAUAAGACUAGUAGCGGCAAGAAAGUUGACAAAUCUACGCCCACAACCAAUUGUGUUCUACUCGUGCAAGAAGAACUACGCAUAGACCUAGCUCAUGAUGCCACUGUUGGGGAACGUUGCAGAAAACAACAAUUUUCCUACUCGUUUCACCAAGAUCAUCUAGGAGUUCAUCUAGCAACGAGUGAUUAGAUGCAUCUACAUACCUUUAUAGAUCGCGAGCGGAAGCGUUCAAAGAACGGGGAUGAUGUAGUCGAACACGACGUGAUUCGAAUCACCGGAGAUCCUAGCACCGAACGGACGGCACCUCCGCGUUCAACACACGUACGGAACAGCCACGUCUCCUCCUUCUUGAUCCAGCAAGGGAGGGAGGAGAGGUUGAGGGAGAUGGCACCAGCAGCAGCACGACGGCGUGGUGUUGAUGGAGCUGCAGUACUCCGGCAGAGCUUCGCUAAGCAAUAAGGAGGUGGAGGAGGUGUUGGGGAGGGAGAAGGAGGCAACCAAAGGCCAAGGACUCAAGGUAUGAAGUCCCUCCUCUCCCCCACUAUAUAUAGGGGUGCCAAGGGGGGGUGGCCGGCCCUAGGAGAUCCAAUCUCCUAGGGGGUGCGGCGGCCAAGGGGGUUUCCCUCCUCCCCAAGGCACCUAGGAGGUGCCUUACCCUCCUAGGACUCUUUCCCCCUUAAACCCUAGGCGCAUGGGCCUAUGUGGGGCUGGUGCCCUUGGCCCAAGCAGGCCAAGGCGCACCCCCUACAGCCCAUGUGGCCCCCGGGGAUGGGUGGCCCCACCCGAUGGGCCCCCGGGACCCCUCUGGUGGUCCCGGUACAAUACCGAUAACCCCGAAACUUGUCCCGAUGCCCGAAACAGGACUUCCCAUAUAUAAAUCUUUACCUCCGGACCAUUCCGGAACUCCUCGUGACGUCCGGGAUCUCAUCCGGGACUCCGAACAACAUUCGGGUUACUGCAUAUACAUAUCCCUACAACCCUAGCGUAACUGAACCUUAAGUGUGUAGACCCUACGGGUUCGGGAGACAUGUAGACAUGACCGAGAUCGCUCUCCGGUCAAUAACCAACAGCGGGAUCUGGAUACCCAUGUUGGCUCCCACAUGCUCCACGAUGAUCUCAUCGGAUGAACCACGAUGUCGAGGAUUUAAUCAACCCCGUAUGCAAUUCCCUUUGUCAAUCGAUAUGUUACUUGCCCGAGAUUCGAUCGUCGGUAUCCCAAUACCUCGUUCAAUCUUGUUACCGGCAAGUCACUUUACUCGUACCGUAAUGCAUGAUCCCGUGACCAAACACUUGGUCACUUUGAGCUCAUUAUGAUGAUGCAUUACUGAGUGGGCCCAGUGAUAUCUCUCCGUCAUACGGAGUGACAAAUCCCAGUCUCGAUCCAUAUAAAACAAUAGAUACUUUCAGAGAUACCUGUAGUGCACCUUUAUAGUCACCCAGUUACGUUGUGACGUUUGAUACACCCAAAGCACUCCUACGGUAUCCAGGAGUUAUACGAUCUCAUGGUCGAAGGAAGAGAUACUUUGACAUUGCAAAAACUCUAGCAAACGAACUAUACGAUCUUGUGCUAUGUUUAGGAUUGGGUCUUGUCCAUCACAUCAUUAUCCUAAUGAUGUGAUCCCGUUAUCAAUGACAUCCAAUGUCCAUAGCCAGGAAACCAUGACUAUCUAUUGAUCAACGAGCUAGUCAACUAGAGGCUUACUAGGGACAUGUUGGUGUCUGUUAUUCACACAUGUAUUACGAUUUCCGGAUAACACAAUUAUAGCAUGAAUAAAGAAAAUUAUCAUGAACAAAGAAAUAUAAUAAUAAUGCUUUUAUUAUUGCCUCUAGGGCAUAUUCCCAACAAAAGCAUGGCACAUUGAACUAUCGAGUAGUCAUCAGCUUUGCUCUGCCAGACGUUCAUAACAUCCGGCAUUGCUCCUGCAGCAGGCCUGGCACCCAGCGGUGCUUCUAGGACGUAAUUCUUCUGUGCAGCAAUGAGGAUAAUCCUCAAGUUACGGACCCAGUCCGUGUAAUUGCUACCAUCAUCUUUCAACUUUGCUUUCUCAAGGAACGCAUUAAAAUUCAACGGAACAACAGCACGAGCCAUCUAUCUACAAUCAAACAUAUACAAGCAAGAUACUAAUCAGGUACUAAGUUUCAUGAUAAAUUUAAGUUCAAUUAAUCAAAUUAAUUAAAGAACUCCCACUUAGAUAGACAUCCCUCUAAUCCUCUAAGUGAUUACGUGAUCCAAAUCAACUAAACCAUAACCGAUCAUCACGUGAGAUGGAGUAGUUUUCAAUGGUGAACAUCGUUAUGUUGAUCAUAUCUACUAUAUGAUUCACGCUCGACCUUUCGGUCUCCGUGUUCCGAGGCCAUAUCUGUAUAUGCUUGGCUCGUCAAGUAUAACCUGAGUAUUCCGCGUGUGCAACUGUUUUGCACCCAUUGUAUUUGAACGUAGAACCUAUCACACCCAAUCAUCACGUGGUGUCUCAGCACGAGGAACUUUCGCAACGGUGCAUACUCAGGGAGAACACUUCUUGAUAAUUUAGUGAGAGAUCAUCUUAUAAUGCUACUGUCAAUCAAAGCAAGAUAAGAUGCAUAAAAGGAUAAACAUCACAUGCAAUCAAUAUAAGUGAUAUGAUAUGGCCAUCAUCAUCUUGUGCUUGUGAUCUCCAUCUCUGAAGCACCGUCAUGAUCACCAUCGUCACCGGCGUGACACCUUGAUCUCCAUCGUAGCAUCGUUGUCGUCUCGCCAAGCUUAUGCUUCCACGACUAUCACUACCGCUUAUUAAUAAAGUAAAGCAUUACAUCGCGAUUUCAUUGCAUACAAUAAAGCGACAACCAUAUGGCUCCUGCCAGUUGCCGAUAACUCGGUUACAAAACAUGAUCAUCUCAUACAAUAAAAUUCAGCAUCAUGUCUUGACCAUAUCACAUCACAACAUGCCCUGCAAAAACAAGUUAGACGUCCUCUACUUUGUUGUUGCAAGUUUUACGUGGCUGCUACGGGCUUAAGCAAGAACCAAUCUCACCUACACAUCAAAACCACAAUGCUAGUUCGUCAAAUAGACUCCGUUUUAACCUUCGCAAGGACCGGGCGUAGCCAUACUUGGUUCAACUAAAGUUGGAGAGACAGUCGCCCGCAAGCCACCUACGUGCAAAGCACGUCGGGGGAACCGGUCUCGCGUAAGCGUACGCGUCAGGUUGGUCUGGGUCGUCUCGUCCAACAAUGCCGUCGAACCAAAGUAUGACAUGCUGGUAGGCAGUAUGACUUAUAUCGCCCACAACUCACUUGUGUUCUACUCGUGCAUAUAACAUCAACAUAAAUAACCUGGGCUCGGAUGCCACUGUUGGGUUUCGUAGGAAUUUCAAAAAAUUUCCUACGCACACGAAAGAUCAUGUGAUGCAUAGCAACGAGAUGGGAGAGUGUUGUCUACGUACCCACGCAGACCGACUGCGAAAGCGUUGACGCAACGUAGAGGAAGUAGUCAGACGUCUUCACGAUCCAACCGAUCAAGCACCGAAACUACGGCACCUCCGAGUUCGAGCACACGUUCAGCUCGAUGACGAUCCCCGGACUCCGAUCCAGCAAAGUGUCGGGGAAGAGUUCCAUCAGCACGAUGACAUGGUGACGAUCUUGAUGCGCUACGGCAGCAGGGCUUCGCCUAAACUCCGCUACAGUGUUAUCGAGGAUUAUGGUGGCUGGGGGCACCGCACACGGCUAAGGAAUAGAUCACGUGGAUCAACUUGUGUGUUCUAGGGUGCCUCUACCUCAGUAUAUAAAGGACCAAAGGGGGCGAGGCUGGCCGGCCACAAGGGGUGCGCCAGGAGAGUCCUACUCCCUCUGGGAGUAGGAUUCCCCCCCUAAUCCUAGUUUGAAUAGGAUUCGCGGAGGGGGAAAAGAGAGAGAGGGGGCCGACCACCUCUCCUAGUCCUAAUAGGACUAGGGGAAGGGGGAGGCGCACAGCCCAUGUAGGGCUGCCUCUUCUCUUUUCCACUAAGGCCCAUCAUGGCCCAUUUAGCUCCCGGGGGGUUCCGGUAACCUUCCCGGUACUCCGGUAAAAUCCCGAUUUCACUCGGAACACUUCCGAUAUCCAAACAUAGGCUUCCAAUAUAUCAAUCUUUACGUCUCGACCAUUUCGAGACUCCUCGUCAUGUCCGUGAUCACAUCCGGGACUCCGAACAACCUUCGGUACAUCAAAAUGCAUAAACUCAUAACAUAAUUGUCAUCGUAACCUUAAGCGUGCGGACCCUACGGGUUCGAGAACAAUGUAGACAUGACCGAGACACAUCUCCGAUCAAUAACCAAUAGCAGGACCUAGAUGCCCAUAUUGGCUCCUACAUAUUCUACGAAGAUCUUUAUCGGUCAUACCACAUAACAACAUACGUUGUUCCCUUUGUCAUCGGUAUGUUACUUGCCCGAGAUUCGAUCGUCGGUAUCCAAUACCUAGUUCAAUCUCGUUACCGGCAAGUCUCUUUACUCGUUCCGUAAUACAUCAUCUCACAACUAACAUAUUAGUUGUAAUGCUUGCAAGGCUUAUGUGAUGUGCAUUACCGAGAGGGCCUAGAGAUACCUCUCCGACAAUCGGAGUGACAAAUCCUAAUCUCGAAAUACGCCAACCCAACAUGUACCUUUGGAGACACCUGUAGUACUCCUUUAUAAUCACCCAGUUACGUUGUGACGUUUGGUAGUACCCUAAGUGUUCCUCCGGUAAACGGGAGUUGCAUAAUCUCAUAGUUAUAGGAACAUGUAUAAGUCAUGAAGAAAGCAAUAGCAACAUAUUAAACGAUCGGGUGCUAAGCUAAUGGAAUGGGUCAUGUCAAUCAGAUCAUUCAACUAAUGAUGUGACCUCGUUAAUCAAAUAACAACUCAUUGUUCAUGGUUAGGAAACAUAACCAUCUUUGAUUAACGAGCUAGUCAAGUAGAGGCAUACUAGUGACACUUUGUUUGUCUAUGUAUUCACACAUGUAUUAUGUUUCCGGUUAAUACAAUUCUAGCAUGAAUAAUAAACAUUUAUCAUGAUUAUAAGGAAAUAAAUAAUAACUUUAUUAUUGCCUCUAGGGCAUAUUUCCUUCAGUUCGAGGCCAAGGCGCCAGGGCAGGGGCGUGUGCAGGGACUUGGCAAAGUAGUAAACCACGGCAGCGGCGGUUACUAGCAUGGUGGCGGAGGGACGGGCGUGCUCGGGUCGAUGAAGCAAGCAGCAGGCAUGGCGGCGCGAGAACUUGGAGCUCGGGGAGGAUCCGGGCGGUAGUAGUUUGCAGCCAGGACCGGAGGUGAGGCGGAUGAGCAGCUCCGGCCGGAUCCAAUCCAUGGCGGUAGCGCAGGCGAAGGAGAGGUUCGGGACGACGACCAUGGAGUCAGGCGGAGCUCCUGGUCGAGGUCGGCGCUGCGAAGCUCGGCUGCCAGGGUUCCUGCUGAUUGCUGCAAGAGGAGAGAGACGGGAAGGUAGAUCAGCACAGGAGGGAGGGAAGAGACACAAGGGAGAAAGCAGGGGAACGGUGUAGAGUCCCUAGACGAGGCGCUUGGCAUGGUGGGCUUCAGGAGCUCGCCAUCGAGCCUCCUACUCGAUCUGGAGGUGGGAGCUUGAGGGUGAUGGGAGUACAGGCGCUACUGGUAGGUGGAUCGAGAGGAGUGACUGGUUGGUUCGGUGCCAAAAUUGAGGAGGAGAAAGUGAUGGUUGGUGAUUUGGAGCGAGGGAGAUCCGGAGGAAGAGGGGAGUUGGUCGGGUGGCGGCGGAUGGGAAGGAUGGAUGGGACAUCUCCCCUAGAAACUAGGGUUAGGCUGUUUAUAUAGUGAGUGGGUCUAUAUGCAGACUAAGGGAAGCCCUUCGAUCUAAAUCGGACGGCUGAGAAAAUAUAGGUUAGGAAGUCCAAUUAACAAAACGGAGACGUUUUGUAGAUGUUUGGGGAUGAUCCGGAUCCAACGGUGACAACUGUCCGGGUCGCGUCCGGGAAGUUUCGGACAUGCACGCGAGGGGUCGGUUGGAACUUGUGGGCUGUGCAGAAGGGCUCGAGCUGAGAGAAGAGAAGAGAGAGGCCCGGCGAUUGUUUCCGGAGACCGAAAACGUCCGACGUUAGACCGGCUAUACUGCCGCUAUAGUUCAUCGGUUAGGCUAUCAAACGAACUCCGAACGCGAUGAAAUUUGACAGGCGGUCUACCUACACUAAAAUAAGACCGCACGCCAACUUUCAAACCAUUCCGAGGACAUUUUCCGGCCACUUAUAAAAUAAAAUUUUGGACAUGCCACAGGCGCGUGCAAGUGUGUCUGGACUCAGAACGAACAACAGAAGGAACGGGGAGACCGGGACGGAUGCAAGUUUUUAAAACAUGAUGAUGCAAUGCACAUGAUGACAUGAUAAGAUGAAACACGCAAGCAAAUGACAUGGCAACGACAGCGAAUAACUGGAAGACACCUGGCACAUCGGUGUCGGGGCGUUACACUCCACCACUACGAGAGGAUCUCGUCCCGAGAUCUAGAAUGGCACCGGAGGGAAAAACAGAAGAGAAAGAGAAGAGGUAAGACUAAGUUGCUUCUUUGACAAACGAGUGAAACCAAAGAACCUUGCGAGGGUGAACAAAUUGAAAGAAAAGAAUACAAUGAAGAUGAACGAAGUGAAAAACACUCCGUUAGGAAAGAGGAACAAUGAACAUUGUGAAAAACCUUGAGGUUGAAGGGCAAGAUAUAUAUUGAAACCACUCCGGUUUAAACCAGAUAGAGAAGGAUUAGGAAUAAAAUAAUUUGGAUAGCACUCCGGAAUCAAACAAGAACUUGACAAGAUGAGAGUAAGCUUGAUGAAAUCAACAACACACUGCCUCCGAAACUAUAGAAAGAAUGGCAGAAAGGAUAAGAACGAUUUUAGACGGCACUCCGGUUGAGAAGGGAGCCAAAACUUGACAGAAUGGGACGAACUUGAAAAGAGGGCAUGACACUCCAGUUAAAUGGAUAAGCACGAAAAGAACACGAUCCUGACAAAACAAGAAGAUGUGUUGAAAAGAUCAACAUCACAAAGCCUCCGGAAGAAUAGAGAGAAUGGAAUGGAAUGAACGGGGGAGAAAAACAAGAUCUUGAGAGAGCAUGCUUUCAACAAUAACUGGGAUGGAGUUGUUGGAAAACCAACAACGAAAAGAAUAAACUUGAUAUGGUCUUAUGGAAUACAUCUCCAAUUAUGAGGUGACACCCAGCCACUCAUGGGAAAAGAAUUGAAUUGAUAAGAACAAGGAGACAAGAAAGUAUUUCGCCGGGAGGAUAAAGAAGAACUUGGGUCCUAUAUAAGCACCAUAGAUAUCAGCAGUCCUUAGGGAAGGCUUUAGGUGAAAUAUAACCCAAGAUAACUCCAAAGAAGAGAUUGAUGGAUUUAAAAUACCUCAUUCUUAACAACAUGUGAAUCAUGAAACAUGAACCCAAAUUAUCAAGAAUGAUGUAAAACCACCUUCAAUGAUACGGUAGAAAGAAAUGCACUCCAGAUAGCAAGAUGAAGAAAGCUUGAGCUCCUUUGAAAAGAAUCUCAAUGAACACUUUGAGAAGGAAUUAAAUCCUUGAUCAACCAUUAUGUAUAGCCUUCAUGAAGAAACUCCGGUAACAAAAGAAUAAAAGAAAGAGGAAUUGAAAACACAAGGUGAAUCCCUGCAAUGAUUUAGAUGAAUCUCCAUGGUGAUAUAAUUGAAAUAACUUGGAGCUCUAGAAAAGAAAGAUGAACAAAAGAAGUCAAGAAUUUUGAUGAACCUCCGGACUAAGGAAUUGAAUUUACUCGAUGAAGCAAGAAUAAGAAUUACAUUAUGCUUAUCCUUCACCAAUUAAAUUGAUGACAAAUGAUGGAUUUGGCACACUACUUAUUCUCGUAGAAAGGAUUAAGAUAGAUAUAGCACAAACUUGAGAAGGUCUUCAACGAACCACCGGUAGGGUUGAAACAACGAAUGAAUUGAUAUGAUAAACGAAGGAAGAGAAAUCUUGAAUGCACCACCGUAAGAAUUAAAAACGAAUGAAGAAAAGAUAAGGAAACACCGAGAAGAAUUAGAAAAUGAUCGUAGAUACUUGAGACCAUCUAGAUGCAAGUGGAUGAAAAUAUCACGAGCUGACUACAGGAUAUUUGAAUGAUGCACCGGUAAGAUUUGGAGAACCAUAGCUGAAAGCUGAGAAUGAAUAAAUCUUAGAUGAUGGGCUUCGGAGAAACAAACUGAAAAGAAUCUUGAAUUGCUCCGGAUGGGUGAAAAGAAUUCUCACGAUCAAAACAAUUAUGAGAGGAUGGCAUCAAGCUAGAACCAUGAGUCUCUGAGAGAAUGGAUAAGAUAUGGAGGAAAAACUCUUCUUCAGUCUUCAAAUGUUGAGAAUGACGACGAGAAACACCACCAAGAAUUAUUUAGACACUCUGGAAGAAUCAAAACGAAGAGGUUGAGCCAACGAUGAAAAGAAUUCGACAGAUCUUGGAGAAAAGCAUUUGACUGAUGAUAAAUCAUUCUUACGUCAAACUUCAAAAGAAAUUUGAGGAUAGCUCCGGGAAAAUAAGAAGAGUCAGGUAAGAUCCUAGGCAAAUACCUAUGGGUUAGGGCCCACUCAAAAGAAAACACCGUUGAAUGAUUUGAAAGAGAGGCUGCACCGGUUGAAUUAAAUGACUUGAAUGAGAUAACAACCUCGAAAGAUCUUGAAUGAAUGCAGAGUGGAAAACAUGAAUCUUCGAGAUAUCUUGAGCACUCCGGAACAAUUAAAUAGCGAGAAGUGAAUGAAUAUGAGGUGCACCAGCAUGAGAAGGUAUUUUAAACGAGGAAAAAGGAUACGAUCAACACCAAAGCUUCAUUUGAAUCCACCGGAUAAGAAAAGAAUGACGAAUGACGAACUUGAAGCUUCGUUAGCAUAUUCCUGAGAAUCAACGGAAAAGAACAUUAACGGAAAAGAAUGGAGAGACUUCUCAUCCAUAAAAGGAUACUUGAAUAAGAAAUCUGAGUCCCUGAAGAAAACAAAGGGAGGGAGAGUGGGAAAAACAAAGGCACCUUGGGAAGGAUGAAACAAACACCGUUGAGAGAGCUUGAGUUGAUCUUGCGGAUGUUGAAAUGAUUAGAUCCACUUGAAGAGAAACACGCCGGUAAAAAGGAUUAACAAGACAAUCUUGAUGAUCAAGAAGGAUUGGUAUCCACAUCGGAGUAUGAGAACACCGUUUAGAAAAGGUAUGGAAUCAACAUUUGACAUCGAAGCAACUCGAAUACCACAACUCAAAACAAAACAAAGUAUUGGCUUGCAUUAUAAGCCAAAACAAACAUAUGAUAGAAAUUCCGUCCGAAGUUUUCGUGGUGGGGCCUACACGGGCUCGAUCGUACAACACCAUCAUGUGCAAGGCAGUGCACAUGACAUACGAAGCGUCCCCGAGUCGGCAUAGCCAAGGACUCUUUAAGACACAACGAGACCACUAUAAAACCAACCGUGAAUAGGCGGACCACUAGACAUCGAACCCCAAUUUCAUAUCAUACAUCCGUCGGAAAGAUAUCCUAAGAGCUACUUGAAUUCCCACUUAUAAACUCCCGAAACUUUCCGGUUAUGCAAUCAGGUGUUGGGGAUACAGGGGAAGCAUAAUAUCUCACCCAAAACUAGCAAAUCCUACAUCCAGUUGUAUCCAUCCUUCAACACAUAACCAAGAAACCUUCAGAAAUCGUCUACCUCAACCUUCGAAAAGCAUCCGUUAUACAAGUUAUGGCAAUACUCCCGAACUCCCGCCCGGUACUGGGUGGCGUCGAGGUUAUCUCACCAACAACUGCAUAAAAGAGAUUUUUGAUGUCGGCGAAACUAAACUCAGGUAUUCCAGAACUGCAACAAUAAAAUUGUGACGACAACACCACGAAGCUCAACUCCUCGGGACACUGCCACAACCCUUAAAUGUCAGGAGGCACCAAGAACAAUGUUCUCGUCACAAAACCAUCGGAACGAUUCCAAGAUACCCGCGUGAUCCUAAAUUUUUUUAGUGAAAUUUGAGAAGAGAAAAGUCAAAACUCUACAUCAGGAUGCCUUACCAGAGCGAUGAAGGGAUUGGGGAGUAAAAAGAAAUCCUAAACUCUCCGAUAUAUAAUUCCAAAAUGACUUAAAACAUUUUUCUAGACUCAACUCGACAGCUAAUUCGAUCAAGCAGGGGGGCUCCUAAGGUCGGGGAAGGCUCUGAUUACCAACUUGUAACGCCCUCGAUGCGGCUAUAUCUCCCACGUGUCGAAACACGACUUAGAGGCAUAGCCGCAUUGAAGGCAAUGUCGCAAGUGAGGUAAUCUUCACACAAGCCAUGUAAUACAUAAGGGAAAGAGAUACAUAGUUGGCUUACAAUCGCCACUUCACACAAUUACAUGAAUAAAGCAUUACAUCAUCCAGAUACAAACAAGGUCUGACUACGGAACCAAAAUAAAAAGAAGACUACCCCAAAUGCUACACAGAUCCCCGAUCGACCCCAACUGGGCUCCACUACUGAUCAACUAGAACGAAACAACACCAAGGACAAGAUCUUCAUCGAGCUCCUCCUUGAGCUUGGUUGCGUCAUCUGCACGGUUCAACGGCACCUGCAAGCUGGUUUUGGAAGUAUCUGUGAGUCACGGGGACUCAGCAAUCUCACACCCUCGCGAUCAAGACUAAUUAAGCUUAUGGGUAAGGUAAAAGGUAUGAGGUGGAGCUGCAGCAAGCGACUAGCAUAUAUGGUGGCUAACAUACGCAAAUGAGAGCGAGAAGAGAAGGCAAAGCACGGUCGAUAAAAGUAUGAUCAAGAAGUGAUCCUAGAACAACCUACGUCAAGUAUAACUCCAACACCGUGUUCACUUCCCGGACUCCGCCAAGAAGAGACCAUCAUGGUUACACACGCAGUUGAUGCAUUUUAAUUAAGGUUAACUUCAGGUUUUCUACAACCGGACGUUAACAAAUUCCCAUCUGCCCAUAACCGCGGGCACGGCUUUCGAAAGUUCAAAUCCCUGCAGGGGUGUCCCAACUUAGCCCAUCACAAGCUCUCAUGGUCAACGAAGGAUAUUCCUUCUAGCGGGAAGACCCGAUCAGGCUCGGAAUCCCGGUUACAAGACAUUUCGACAAUGGUAAAACAAGACCAGCAAGACCACCCGUUGUGCCGACAAAUCCCGAUAGGAGCUGCACAUAUCUCGUUCUCAGGGCACACCGAAUAAGCUAAGCGUACGGGAGCCAACGUAACCCAAGUUGCCAAGGGACGGCCCCACACGGUGCUCUGGGUUGGACCAACACUCAGAGGAGCACUGGCCCGGGGGUUUAAAUAAAGAUAUCUCUUGAGUCUACAGAACCCAAGGGAAAGAAAAGGCUAGGUGGCGAAUGGUAAAACCAAUGUUGGGCCUUGCUGGAGGAGUUUUAUUCAAGGCGAACUGUCAAGGGGUUCCCAUUAUAACCCAACCGCGUAAGGAACGCAAAAUCUGGGAACAUAACACCGAUAAGACGGAAACUAGGGCGGCAAGAGUGGAACAAAACACCAGGCAUAAGGCUGAGCCUUCCACCCUUUACCAAGUAUAUAUAUGCAUUAAUUAAAUAAGAGAUAUUGUGAUAUCCCAACAAGUAAACAUGUUCCAACAAGGAACAACAUCUCCAUGUUCCAACAAGGAACAAACUUCAAUCUUCACCUGCAACUAACAACGCUAUAAGAGGGGCUGAGCAAAGCGGUAACAUAGCCAAACAACGGUUUGCUAGGACAAGGUGGGUUAGAGGCUUGGUUCAACAAUAUGGGAGGCAUGAUAAGCAAGUGCUAGGUAUCGCAGCAUAGGCAUAGCAAAAGAGCGAGCAACUAAGCAAGCAAAGAUAGAAGUGAUUUCGAGGGUAUGGUCAUCUUGCCUGAAAUCCCGCAAGAAAGAAGAACGAGUCCAUGAGGAAGACAAACGGACGUAGACGAACGGAUCCUCACAAACGCGACGUUACAGGAUCCAACCCGAAGAAGCAACACCGGAAAGAAGCACACAACAUAGUAAACAACCAUGACAUAAGCAUGGCAUGAUACACAACCAAGUAUGAUGCAUGUCCGGUUUAAAGAUACAUGGCAUGGCAAAAUGCACAAACAAUCCUACAAAUUAAGUGGAGCUCAAUAUGCAACGAGUUGCAUAUUGACGAAACACCACGUGACUUAUUUAGUUCUCUCUCGUUUAGGUAGUCAACAAUAUUAAAUGUUGAUUAACAUGGCAAGGGGUGAAGCACAACAAAACUACCUAACUAGUCAAGGUUAAAUGAGGCCGGAAGCAACGAACAACAAUUCCGAUAAAUCCCCAUAUGCAUAUAUUAGGUUUGGUACUGUUCUGCCCUAAACACAAUUUUAGAGUUGUCAAACAUGCAAAAUGAUGCCACCAUGUUAAACUAGGCAUUUUUCCACCCCAUUUACAUAUAAAGUUUAUUAGAAUCGGAGCUACGGUUAUUUAGAUAUGAAUUAAAUCAUUUUUAACAUGGCAUAGGAGAAAAUUUAAACAAACAAGAUUUUAAACAUUUUAAACAUAGAUGAAAGUGGAAAAUUAUUAAUCUACACAAAAUUCAAGCAAGAUUCAUAUUUAAAGUUUUUACAUAUGAUGCACCGCUUGUGAGAUCUGAUAUGCAUGAUGUAUGAGGGCUGAUCUGCAAAAGUGCAAUGCCCUGGAAAUUGAUAAAAUCGCAACUAAGAAAAAAACCUAACGGGCUGAAACUAAGCAGAGGCCCAACAGAGAAUAAAGAAAGAGAAUAAAGAACAAAAAAAUACACAGGAGGCGCUGGGCCUCAGCAUGGGCUUCGGCCCAGAUCUGGAGAGGAACCGCUAGGCUGAGGAAGAAGCGGCGCGGGGCUGGGCCUUCCUGGCGCUGGGCGAUGGAGGGCGAGCUGGGCCUGGGGCUAGCCGACCCAGUCGCAGUCAACGAGCGCAGAGGCCACGCGUGGGCAUUGACGAGAGGACAAAACGGAUCGGGCGCUUCUCGUCCUCCUGCUCGAAGCAGAGGAGGAGGCGGUGGUUGACGACGCCGGGGACACAGACGAGCACAGCAGCGGCAACCGCAGCUGCAAAGGGCCGACGGGGGUGCGGAAGACAGUGAGGAUGCAGCUACAGGAUGGGCGCGUUCAGCGGCUCGACCUCGAGCGCGCGCUCGACUCAAGCAUGGCACGGCGGCUUCAGGCGACGCAGGGCGGCAGUGUUCGAGGCCAAGGCGCCAGGGCAGGGGCGUGUGCAGGGACUUGGCAAAGCAGUAGACCACGGCAGCGGCGGUUACUAGCGUGGUGGCGGAGGGACGGGCGUGCUCGGGUCGAUGAAGCAAGCAGCAGGCACGGCGGUGCGAGAACUUGGAGCUCAGGGAGGAUCCGGGCGGCGGUAGCUUGCAGCCAGGACGGGAGGUGAGGCGGAUGAGCAGCUCCGGCCGGAUCCAAUCCAUGGCGGCAGCGCGGGCGAAGGAGAGGUUCGGGACGACGGCCAUGGAGUCAGGCGGAGCUCCUGGUCGAGGGCGGCGCUGCGAAGCUCGGCUGCCAGGGUUCCUGCUGAUUGCUGCAAGAGGAGAGAGACGGGAAGGUAGAUCAGCACAGGAGGGAGGGAAGAGACACAAGGGAGAAAGCAGGGGAACGGUGCAGAGUCCCUAGACGAGGCGCUUGGCAUGGUGGGCUUCAGGAGCUCGCCAUCGAGCCUCCUACUCGAUCUUGAGGUGGGAGCUUGAGGGUGAUGGGAGCACAGGCGCUGCUGGUAGGUGGAUCGAGAGGAGUGACUAGUUGGUUCGGUGACAAAAUCGAGGAGGGGAAAGUGAUGGUUGCUGAUUUGGAGCGAGGGAGAUCCCGAGGAAGAGGGGAGUUGGUCGGGUGGCGGCGGAUGGGAAGGAUGGAUGGGAC
rnacentral:lncRNA from 1 species